rnacentral:misc_RNA from 1 species
CGCCAAUGGACAGGAAGGGCCACAGACGAAGCUCCACCUCCCACGCCGUCGAUGAGCUGGCGGCGGUGAAGGCUGCAGCGUGGGCAUGGUACCAGCAUGGUUCGGGGCGCGAAGGGAGGUCCAUCACAGAAGCCGGUCAUGUCCGAGCCCCUUGCAAGCAGCGACAGUCCACGCUAUCGCCUAACAUGGUUUCGAUUCAGCCGCAGACUACUAACUCUUUGCUCGAUCUCUACGAGAUCGAGAGGAUUACGCGGGAGCUGGACCGGCUCAUCGUUGCUGGAAACGAG